AGAAAAAUUAAAAAUUCUAAACAGCAAACAUUACCCCUUUGUACAUUUUGCUUAAUUAACUAAAAUAACCUAACAAAGAGAAGUUAAGCUAGUCCUCCCCAAACCAGACAAGCUACCUAUGAACAACCUGUGUAGAAUAAACUCAUCUAUGUUGCAAAAUAAGUGAGAAGAUUUGUAGGUAGAGGUGAAAAGUCUAAGGAGCCUGGUGAUAGCUGGUACCCAGAAGAGAAUCUUAGUUCAACUUUAAACUUCCCUAAAAACCUAAAAAUUCUAAUAUAAGUUUUAAAUAUAUCUAAAAAGUUACAGCUUUUUAGAAAAAAUACAACAUUGUUUAGAGAAUAAGCAUAAACACAACCAUAAUUGGCCUAAAGGCAGCCAUCAAUUAAGAAAGCGUUAAAAUCAUCUUAAUACCAAAAUAUGCAACCAACUCCUAAUUUAACACUGGGUUAAUCUAUUUAACAAUAAAAGCAACAAUGUUAAUACUUGUCCUUGCAUAAAUUUAGAGCAGAUAACACAGUUAACAAUAAGAUAAAAUAAUCCAGCUAUAAACUAAUUAUCAAACUAAUUGUUGACCCAACACAGGCACACAACUAAGGAAACAUUAAAAGAAGUAAAAGGAACUCAAACACAAACCCCGCCUGUAUACCAAAAACAGCACCUCUAGCAUUUCUAGUAUUAGAGGUACAGCCUGCCCAGUGACGUUUGUUAAACGGCCGCAGUAUCCUGAUCUAAAUGGCUGUGGUAUCCUGAUCGUGCAAAGGUAGCAUAAUCAUUUGUUCUCUAAAUAGGGACUUGUAUGAAUGGUCACAUGAGGGUUUUGCUGUCUCUUACUUCCAAUCCAUGAAACUGACCUUCCCGUGAAGAGGCGGGAAUAUAAUAAGAUGAAAAACCCUAGGGAGCUUUAAUUAACCAGUCCAAAGAAAUCAACUCAAUUCAACCAACAGGGACAAUACAUGGACUGACAAUUUAAGUUGGGGUGACCUCGAAGAAUAAACAACCUCUGAGGCUCUGAAAUCUAGACCAACUAGUCAAAAGUAUUACAUCACUUAUUGAUCCCAAAACUUGAUCAGUGGAACAAGUUACCCUAGGAAUAACAGCACAAUACUAUUUUAGAGUUCAUAUUGACAAUAGAGUUUACAACCUCGAUGUUAGAUCAGGACAUUCCGAUGGUGCAGCAGCUAUCAAAGGUUCGUUUGUUCAACAAUUAAAGUCCUACGUGACCUGAGUUCAAAUUGGAGCAAUGCGGGUUGGUUUCUAUCUAUUAAACAAUUUCUCCCAGUACGAAAGGACAAGAGAAAUGAGGCCUACUUCACAUAAAGUGCCUUAAACUCAUUAGAUGAUAUAAUCUCAAUCCAGACUUUGUUAACUUCCACUGCCCAAGAAUCCGGGUUUGUUAGGGUGGCAGAGCUGGUAACAGCAUAAAACUUAAACCUUUAUAAUCAGAGGUUCAACUCCUCUCC
rnacentral:rRNA from 1 species